rnacentral:rRNA from 1 species
UGGAGAGUGGCGCACGGGUGAGUAACGCGUGGGGACCUACCUUUCAGUGGGGGAUAACGGUUGGAAACGACCGCUAAUACCGCAUACGCCCUUCGGGGGAAAGAUUUAUCGCUGAAAGAUGGACCCGCGUUGGAUUAGAUAGUUGGUGAGGUAACGGCUCACCAAGUCAGCGAUCCAUAGCUGGUUUGAGAGGAUGAUCAGCCACACUGGGACUGAGACACGGCCCAGACUCCUACGGGAGGCAGCAGUGGGGAAUAUUGGACAAUGGGCGCAAGCCUGAUCCAGCCAUGCCGCGUGAGUGAAGAAGGCCUUCGGGUUGUAAAGCUCUUUCAGAUGCGAAGAUGAUGACGGUACCAUCAGAAGAAGCCCCGGCUAAUUUCGUGCCAGCAGCCGCGGUAAUACGAAAGGGGCAAGCGUUGUUCGGAUUUACUGGGCGUAAAGGGCACGCAGGCGGUCUUGCCAGUCAGGGGUGAAAGCCCGGGGCUCAACCCCGGAACUGCCUCUGAUACUGCAAGACUAGAGACUAGGAGAGGGUGGUGGAAUUCCCAGUGUAGAGGUGAAAUUCGUAGAUAUUGGGAGGAACACCAGAGGCGAAGGCGGCCACCUGGACUAGAUCUGACGCUCAGGUG